rnacentral:rRNA from 1 species
AGAGUUUGAUCCUGGCUCAGGAUAAACGCUGGCGGCGUGCCUAACACAUGCAAGUCGAACGCCCUGACUUACGAGUGAGGGAGUGGCGGACGGGUGAGGAACACGUGGGUACCUACCUUCAGGUGAGGGAUACCGGCGAGAAAUCGCCGACAAUACCGCAUAGGUUUGGGAGACCAAACAAAGUCGAAAGACGCCGGGAG